CUCUUGAUUUUUUUCUUUCCUCUCCAGCUUCCCAUGGUGGAUGUGGCGGUGUUCUUGUUCUUUCUUCUAAACAGUUUGAUUCUUUUGAUCUUGGAUCACAGUCAGUUGAAAGGCUCUUUGAAACGAUCUGAACUGCUCACCAGGCCCCAGAGGUUUUUCCUUCAAAUGGAUUUUUUUGCCAACUUCAUUUUUGGCCUCAUGUGGUUGGUUUUUCCAGGAUGGCUUCUUGGGUCACAGAUACAUGGAUAUGAGGAUAAUCUUCAUCUCACCCGUGCAUUUGGAGCCAUGAUGAUUGGAGACAGUUUUGCCUCUUUUAUUACUCAAAAACAAAUGGGAACCAAUGAGGUGUCUGUCUUCACCAGCCGAGCUGUGGGGACUUUGGCUGUUGUCGUCUUCAUGCUCCACACCCAGAUCACCACAUCUCCGUGGAAAAGCCCACAGCUCUGUUUCUGCCUAGCAGGGGUCAGUCUCUGGGCUGGAAACUCCAUCCUCGGCUAUCUGAGCGCCAAAGACACCGAGUCAGUGAAUGAUAUAUAUUACCAUGCUGUACAGAGAAAGAACAGAAAACUACAUGUACAAUAGAUAUUUUGUUAUAUGCAUACAUAUGUUUUAUAUUGUAAAUAUGUUGUGCUUUUAUGAAAAUUAAAUAGAUCUAUUCUUUUGUAAAUAAUGCAUCUUUUUAAUUUAUACUCUGUAAAGAACUGGAAAAUAUCUCACUCCAUCUUAUUUAUAUAUAUAUAAUGCAAAUAAAGGCAAAGUUGUCAUCAUGGGAGUGCAGGUGAAGUGAAGAGCAGUUCAUAAAAUGUUAAAGUUUACAGCGCUUUGUCAGCUGUUUGUCACCCGUCUUUCACACUCUCAGGUGUCGAGUCAUUCUCCUGCAAUAUUCACUUAGCCAUCUGCUUUGUACAUUUGGAUAGUAGGUUUCAUUUACAAAAACAGACAUGCAUAAUUUUGAACUGUUAAAGGUGCAAAUUCUUCUUUCAUUCUGCAUUUAUUUAUGUUUUAUUAUGUUGUCAUCCUCUUAUUUUUAUUUAUUGAAAACAAGUUUGAUAAACAAAUCUUCUUGAGCAUCUGAA